CGCCCACAUCGCAUAGUGGUAUUGCAUCGGAUUGCUAAUCCGAGCCCUUCGGGGCUCGCAGGUUCGAUUCCUGCUGUGGGCGU
rnacentral:tRNA from 1 species